UCAGUUUGCGCCACGAAUACCCUCGUCGACUUUGACGAUCGAUUCUUUUUCUUCGGUGAAGCCGAGCAGGAAAACAGUCUCGCGAGAUCGAAGACCUGCCGCCGAUCCAAGCAUCGGAAUCGCAGGCUGGCAAACUUCCCGUGGGAUUGCAGCUCCCAAGACAUUUCUGCGACAUCCGAAUCCUUCUGCCAUAGCAAUCGUGGCCUUUAUCUACAUCCAGGUGCGUCUUUUCACUGCAGUCUGAGUAUGCAGAGCGCUUGGCUGCUGUUAAACAAACAUAUAUAAAGAUGAAGAAUCUGCUCAACUGAAGACCCUACUUCAAGAUCUUAAAAGUCUUACUGUUGCGACUGGUUUUAAAUCUAGGUGCUGCAAUAUAGUCAACAAUCAAACCCAGCUUUACAAAUUUUGACACUGAUAAUGUAAUAAAAGGACAGCCUGGUACAUAAAGCUCCCGUUAUGCGGGAUUUCGGGAAAGAAUCCAUUGUAUGCAACCUUACCUUGCUUUUUGUAAUAGGUUGGUCACAAAGCAAUAAUUUUAGUUGUGCCAAGGCUCCGCUUCUAUACACUGAUCAUGCAAUAUGAAAUUUAAAUGUUAUGCAACAGUUUGCACAU